GUCAGGCUGGCCAAGCUGUAAGAUCUGGAAAGAUAGUCGAGACUGACAGGUCGUAUAGUACUGUCUACCGUAAUCUGUCAUUAUUACGCAAAAUCUCGGCGCUCCCGUUCGAACGACGCGACGCUCCUGCUACGCUAUUUUUGUCUACGGAAUUUCCGCGCGGGCAAUAAUCGCCGAAUCGGAUCGCCUCGCAUCAGAUGCCGAAAAUAAUCGCGCGCGCGCGCUCGCACGCACGCACUUUGACAAAUCAAUCGCGACGCGCGUGUGUACGUACAUACGUAUGCAUCCGGACGAGUGCCGCUUCCGCCGCUUUGAUGUCCGUUCGCGGGAUUAAUUAACUCGACGGUGCGAUUAUUAUGUCAGAGCGGGACGCGCGGCGUUUUCUUUCCGCUAGAUUUCUAAUUAAGUCGCCAAUUUCAUGCGAUUACGGCGGAGAUGCGGAGACGCGCGACGGGGUAAUUACGGAUGCACAAAGAAAACGAUGCGGCACAAAGCGGGGUAACGACGGCGCGCAGAAAUGCAAUUUGACGUGUCGAUCUUGUAUGUAAUACAUCUGGCAUACACGUCUCCGUGCGCAACUGUGCGCACGUCCGGCGGCUUAAGACGCGCGCGAGUGUCAUUUCCGUUCGAAUUUUUCCGGUCGGUCUUUGUUGCGGAUUAGCGGUCUUUUCGAAAUGACCGGCCGCAGCGGUACUGCGCGACCGUCGGCGGACCGUCGGCGGAGUAAUACAAGAGCGAGCGGAGAGCGGUGGUGGCGCGGCAGUCUUCUUCUUACCUCGCAAUCUCUGCGAUCUCUGCGCAGCAAAUCGCUUGCGAAAAGCUUUGUGUGGUUCUUUGUGAGACAAGGCGAGUUCGAGUGGACGAUUAACGAGAGACGGGUUCAUCUGAAACGCCCAGCGGUGACGAAAGAGAGAUAAGAGCUUCUGCCACUGAGCGGACACUCGAAUAACCUAGACAGCCUUCGGGUGGACAAGCGCUUGUCGAGUUUUCUAGUCACUAGCCUUCGGGUGAAAGAAUCAAAGCCGACUCGUUACUAACAGAGGUUGCCUUCGGGUGACAGAGUUCUUGUGGACUCUUGCAGCUUCAUCCAUUAUAUGGACGUGUGCUCUCUGGAGCAGCUCACUCACUGAUUUUUUAGUCAGCCGCUUUACGGUGCCUCUAAUAACUGAGGUGGUAACGUUCUUCGAGCGUUCUCUUAACCACUUCUUUCAGGAAUUAUCCCAACAGUUUCUUUACAGGCGUUGAACGAACAAGAUCUUCGAAGAGCGACCUCCCUCAGCGUCAUUCAAGGGGCCGGAGCACGAAAAUCUCGCCCGUACACGACACAUCACAUGAUAUUUGUCAAGCCUGCUGCCUCGAUUAAUUUACUACGGAAUUACUUGUUUCUUUUCUUAAUUUUAGUAAAGUGUGCAAUCAAAUCAA